ensembl:lncRNA
GGCAGCAGCGUGGCCUGAGCACAGGUGAGGGAGUUUGACUUCGGAUCCAAGCUCCACCACUGAUGUGCUUGGCCCAGAUCCGCAGAGGUGUUGCAGCACCUAAAUCCUACUGGUUUCAAUGGGAGUUAAGUGCCUGGAAGCCUUUGGGGGUCUGAGACUUGGCUCCCAAGUGCCCUCUCGUGGUGGAUGCUUCUGUCUGUCUGUCCAACUAGAGCAGUGGUUCUCAACCUGCGACCCAUGGGCCACUCGCAGCCCAAUCCGCACACAGCUGUGGCCCCUGUGACAUCCUCAGGGCCACCCAGGGAGUGUGUAUGGUGUGUGGUUGUGUCCCACAUAGACAGCUGCCCAUGGGAUCCACAACAGUAAAUAGGUUGAGAACCACUGAACUAGAAGCUCUUUGUGGGCUGGUGUUUGGAGGGGUGGGGCACCCGCAGCAGCAGCUGGCUUUAGGGGCAGAUGCCAAGCACCACUGAAAAUCAGGCCCAAGCUAUGUCAGGAUGGGUACCCCAAACGAGGCUCCUCUUCCACGCCUGCAGCUGCCCCAAUGCCCUCCUGAAAUGGGCUGUCUAUUGACCUCCGUCCCCAGGCUGUAACCAAGCUCCUGGGUGAGCACCAGCGCUCUGAGGCACGGGUGCUGCUCUACAGGAGGGCAGAGCAUGGGCACCGGCCAGCUGGCUUAGCAAGCCUGAGCCCUGCUCCACCAAGAUCGACUUCAGCCAGGGGUGGAGCAGGAAUCCUGCAUCAGGGCUAGAAACCGGCCUGGACCAUCAUGCUGGCCUUGCUCCUCAGCCCAAGACAGCAGCGGUUCCUUGGCUUCAGCACGUGAACUUGUACCUGGCUGCUCAGUGCAAGGCCAGACUCCACCUUGGUGAGUCGGCACCAGCUUCAGUGGGGUCUGGCCAGGGAUGGAUUCAGGCUGACCUGCCAGAAGUCAGGAUCCCGGUCGGUCCUGGGGUCUCUACAGGGAUUGGCGAAAAAGGAAGGAGCCUUUUGCAGGUCAGUUACGUGGCACCAACUACACUAGGCAAGCUGCUGAUCUCUCUCCAUCCACGUUCUCCAACCAUUCCCAUUGCUGUGGCAUCUGGCCAGAUGACACCUCAGCAGCUGGGAGAGACGCAGCCCUGGGGGGACUGAGGACAGAAGCUGAUUUCAAAUAGCUGAACUCUGGUCCUGCAGAAGGCAUCUCGGCUGGAGAUCAAACUCGCAGUGUCCUUUUUGUGUCUUGUCUUGUGACUGCAGUAAUUCACAGUUGGAUUUUUUGCCCUGAACUGAAUGAAGGGGACCUGGUCAGCUGAAAGGACCGUUAUCAGCUUGAAAUAGUUGAUGGGGAUAAAUUUAUAACCCUUCGGGUUUCUGAUUGAGCCUCCUUUAAGUAGCAUGUAUGGAAAUAUAUAUUGUCGGUGUAUUUUGUCCCCCUGCUGAUAUUUACAAAGGUCUCUCCAGCAGGGGCGAGUGGGUGUUCCCAAGAUCAAAGCCAUGCUUAGACCCGGGACAGCUCCCACUUCUCUCAGUUGCAUCUUUGCUGCUGCUCUUACUGGCAAGCUCCCUCUUGCAAGGCCUGGGGGAAAGUAUGCAUGUGAACUUCCCCCAGCACUGCCUGACAGGCUGAGAGUGGUGUCCUCGUGCUAAUCAAAUGCAUGAGACAAAUCGGCACUCCCAUGGGUACCAACAGAUGGAAUUGAUUGACCACCGGCUGCUGUAAAAGAGAGAGAAAUCUCUCUCUUUUCUCUCUGUUUUCAAUUGCAGUGAUUGUUCGUGUUAUUUGUAACCAUUUCAGGUACAAUUUGUCAGGGGGAAAUAAAGGGUUAUUUCCCCAAGGGGGGCUAGGGGAG